GACGAACGCUGGCGGCGUGCUUAACACAUGCAAGUCGAACGGAAAGGCCCUGCUUUUGUGGGGUGCUCGAGUGGCGAACGGGUGAGUAACACGUGAGUAACCUGCCCCUGACUUUGGGAUAACUCCAGGAAACUGGGGCUAAUACCGGAUAGGAGCUCCUGCUGCAUGGUGGGGGUUGGAAAGUUUCGGCGGUUGGGGAUGGACUCGCGGCUUAUCAGCUUGUUGGUGGGGUAGUGGCUUACCAAGGCUUUGACGGGUAGCCGGCCUGGGAGGGUGACCGGCCACAUUGGGACUGAGAUACGGCCCAGACUCCUACGGGAGGCAGCAGUGGGGAAUAUUGCACAAUGGGCGGGAGCCUGAUGCGGAAACGCCGCGUGCGGGAUGACGGCCUUCGGGUUGUAAACCGCUUUCGCCUGUGACGAAGCGUGAGUGACGGUAAUGGGUAAAGAAGCACCGGCUAACUACGUG
rnacentral:rRNA from 1 species